rnacentral:rRNA from 1 species
AGAGUUUGAUCAUGGCUCAGGAUGAACGCUAGCGGCAAGCCUAACACAUGCAAGUCGAACGGUAACUUUUGGUGCUUGCACCGAAAGACGAGUGGCGAACGGGUGCGUAACGCGUAUGCAAUCUACCUUUUACUAGAGUAUAGCCCAGAGAAAUUUGGAUUAAUCCUCUAUAACAUCAUUAAUUCGCAUGAAUUUAUGAUUAAAGCUUCGGCGGUUAAAGAUGAGCAUGCGUCCUAUUAGUUAGUAGGUGAGGUAACGGCUCACCUAGACUACGAUAGGUAGGGGUCCUGAGAGGGAGAUCCCCCACACUGGUACUGAGACACGGACCAGACUCCUACGGGAGGCAGCAGUGAGGAAUAUUGGACAAUGGACGAAAGUCUGAUCCAGCUAUGCCGCGUGCAGGAUGACAGCCCUACGGGUUGUAAACUGCUUUUAUACAGGAAGAAAACCUUCGACGCGUCGAAGCUUGACGGUACUGUAAGAAUAAGGAUCGGCUAACUCCGUGCCAGCAGCCGCGGUAAUACGGAGGAUCCAAGCGUUAUCCGGAAUCAUUGGGUUUAAAGGGUCCGCAGGCGGUUUUUUAAGUCAGAGGUGAAAUCCUGCAGCUCAACUGUAGAAUUGCCUUUGAUACUGAAAGACUUGAGUUAUUGUGAAGUGGUUAGAAUGUGUGGUGUAGCGGUGAAAUGCAUAGAUAUCACACAGAAUACCAAUUGCGAAGGCAGAUCACUAACAAUAUACUGACGCUCAGGGACGAAAGCGUGGGUAGCGAACAGGAUUAGAUACCCUGGUAGUCCACGCCGUAAACGAUGGAUACUAGCUGUAUGUCUACUUCAGGUAGAUGUGUGGCUAAGCGAAAGUGGAUAAGUAUCCCACCUGGGGAGUAC